rnacentral:rRNA from 1 species
AGUGAACGCUGGCGGCGUGGCUAAGACAUGCAAGUUGAGCGAGUAGAUGGCCUUCGGGCAUUGAGGAGCAGCGAACGGGUGAGUAAGACGUAAGUAACCUACCCUUAAGACGAGGAUAGAUUAUCGAAAGAUAGAGUAAUACUGGAUGAAGGAUAUCACUGCAUGGUGAUAGACCGAAAGGCAAGAAAGUGCGCUUAAGGAGGGGCUUGCGGCCUAUCAGCUAGUUGGUUAGGUAAAGGCCUACCAAGGCGACGAUCAGUAGCCGACCUGAGAGGGUGACCGGCCACAUUGGGACUGAGACACGGCCCAAACUCCUACGGGAGGCAGCAGUGGGGAAUAUUGCACAAUGGGCGAAAGCCUGAUGCAGCGACGCCGCGUGAGUGAAGAAGUAUUUCGGUAUGUAAAGCUCUAUCAGCAGGGAAGAAAAUGACGGUACCUGACUAAGAAGCCCCGGCUAACUACGUG